rnacentral:rRNA from 1 species
UACGUAGGGUCCGAGCGUUGUCCGGAAUUACUGGGCGUAAAGAGCUCGUAGGUGGUUUGUCGCGUUGUUCGUGAAAACUCACAGCUUAACUGUGGGCGUGCGGGCGAUACGGGCAGACUUGAGUACUGCAGGGGAGACUGGAAUUCCUGGUGUAGCGGUGGAAUGCGCAGAUAUCAGGAGGAACACCGGUGGCGAAGGCGGGUCUCUGGGCAGUAACUGACGCUGGAGGAAGCGAAAUGCGUGGGGAGCGAACAGG